rnacentral:pre_miRNA from 1 species
AUAAAUUGCUUGCAGGACGGGAAGGUGUCAACGUUUUGCAUUUUGAAUCAAACAUUGCACUUGUCCCGGCCUAUGAGCGGUUUGUGC